ensembl:lncRNA
UACAAUCACUCUGUUUACACCUCGUUCACCUCUUUACCUGAGCUCUGAUUGGCUGGUGGAGUGUUGUUGGAGUCGACCGGAUUGCAAGCCCAUGCUGCGCUUUGGCCUUAGUGUCCACGGCUGCUACCCGUGGUGUAUUGAUCCAGGAUUCUGGGAAACGUAGUCAUGUGAGAAAAAACAUGUGGGUAAAAAGAAAGGAUUUUAUCAUCGAGGUUUGAGAUCCAACCACUGAUAUCCAGACCACAUUCAUAAAUGGUACUUCUACAUAAAACCUGUGUUCUUGUUCUGCUCUGCGGCGUGUCUCUGGAGAAGGGCAGCGGGGCCGGUGUGAAUGGCGGCGGGGUGAGGAUACAUUCAUGAAGAACAGUGCGGACACACAGGCGCUGCUCAGCUCCCCGACAGCAACGCCUGACACGGGGAAUAAAUUGAACUUGGACCACCCCCUCCCCAUCCCAACCACCCAGCCCUCCAACCCCAGUCUCCAUACAGCAUCCCCUUUUCAGUCGUCUUACCACCUUUCCCCCCCAAUAAUACAUGAGACACGCUCAGCCACGCGCUCUCAUCACCCACGGAUCCUUAAUGAAAUCUACAUCUCUGUCUGAGAGGGUAUGAAAUAAUAAUGGUGGAACUGAAAUUAUUACUCCUUCACAGUGCCCUAGGAUCGAAUACAUUUUUUAUCAAGGUGGAAAUGGGGCGGGAUAGGAAUAUCACUGUGAUUUCAAAUGCUCUCCUCUUGAAAAGAAAAUGAUGUAAAAAAAAGCCUACCGUGGUUGGAUGGGGAAACACGAUGCGUUGCUUUGUAUUUGCAUGAGAUGUGGAAACAGAUGGGAGAGUGUAUUGAGAAUAAAGGUUAACCGAUUUAAACCUCGUGGCAUUACCCAGUCGAUACCAGUUUUACUAGUUAAGCUUGCUAAGUGGACGUGACGGCCGCAGUCAUUUGGAUGCAGGGGUUUAUUUUCUUUACUCCCCAAACGUAACAACGGACUCGAGCGCUCUAACAAGUCGUAGUGGUUCUUCGAAGUCUGUAACCCAGUGACUCUUGUUAGACAAAUCAAAUGGGUUUGGGAAUUGGAAAGGUGGAUGGGAGUGGUUUUUAGUCUAAGCCAAUUUGACUAUGAGCUCAGACUUUAAGUGGGCCCAGGCUGCCUCGGGGAAAUCCAUCUGAGAAAGAUUAACCGUGGGAUUUAAUGAGCGUAAUGAUCAAAGCCACGGCCACCUGUGCUAUGGUAGGGCUAGCUAGGAAGGCAACAGUACCCACUAUUGGGAUACACUUAGGACUAGCAAGGAGGGCUACACUGGCUUAUACAUAGAGGGUAGUAGAGUAAAGAGAUACGAUAUACGAAAAUAUGUUCAUAUAAGAUAUAAAUGUUCUGUAUGCGUGUGUUCAUAGAUAAAUAAAUGCACAAAAUAGACGGCUCUGGUCUAGGCUUUCUAUCACAGACACCCUGAGAAAACAAAAAGAAAAAAAACAUGUAACUUGUAGAACGAAACAAAAUUCUAAAUAUUAAUAGAAUCCAGUAUGAUGGAAAGGCAUCGCAUUCCGUCGAUCAAAUAUCUCCAUGUGAGGAUCCCACUAGUCUUGUUUUAAACAGUAAUACACCUAUAGCACUAGUGGUAGGCUGAGCGUGGUGUCAUUAUUGACUGAGCUGGCAGAUAUUUUAUGGUAUUUUGGUCUAAUCAUCGUUGCUACCACCCUCUAAAUGUGAUUUUUUUUUUUGCAGUUUCUUUUUUUACAGAAAUGUUGAAUGAUGCAUAAUAUGUCAGUGUAUAAAGACUUCAAACAGGAGGUAACAUGUUUUGUUUUUUCCUUCUCUCAUUUCUCCUUCUCUCUCGGUGUAUUUGACGCGUCUUUUUCAUUUCUGGCAGCAUUGUGUAGUAGUUUAGUAUUUGGCACUUUAUAUAAAAGGCCUGGUGGUCCAUCAUCGCUGUGGCAGACCACCCCUGCCAGUGAACAGUCGUGAGGAGCAGCCACUCAGAGCAGCAGGCUAGCCAGCGUGGUGGAGGGGUUUGGGACGGAAGGGUCUGGAUUGGAACUGGGAUCUGGUGUUGGGAUUUUGAGGUCAAAGGACACUACAGUGUGGGUAACUUGGGAGAGCAUCAAGGUGCUAAUGAGGCUUAGCACCACCGAAAUAGCUACGCAGGAAGCUUUUAUCUCAAUGCAGUAUUAUUCCGCCAAUUACAACAGAUUAGCAAGACAAAGGGGGUCUACCCGGGGCAGAUGUAGGUUAUAGCGAAGGUGAUCGCAAGGUCACGCACCUGUGCUUUCUUUGGGUCUAAAGACUGUUGUUGUUUUUUUAAAGGGUUACAAUGAGAACUGAAUAUCCGUAGACGCGACCAAUCAGCACCCUCUAAAAAACUGGCGAAAAGCGUGGCCACAAAUAGCAAAGCCAGCAUUGGAGUCAGCGGCUGAGGGGAGAAGGGAGAUGGGAACGCCACAUCAUGCCGACAGAUGCGUUAAGACUGAGAAUGUACGAGGACUGGACUCCAUCUCCACCACAUGUCAUGCAAACUGUGUGAGAACCGCAGGGAGAUGGUUAUGAGCGGGCUCGAAACAACAAAUGAUAAUAAUAAUAAUAAUAAUAAUAAUAAUAAUAAUAAUCAUAAUAGUAAUGAUAACUAAUAGAGAACGAGAUAAAUAGAAAGGUGGCCAAGUAGGGUCGUAUUGAGGGGGGGCGGGGGGAGAAAGAGAGAGCGAGAGACAGAGAAAUAGAAUCUGGUUGCUCGGGCUGAAGACAUAUCCCCCCCCACCCAACCCAGCACCCUCCACCCACCACCACCCCAUUUCCCUGCCCCAAAUUCUUCUCAGAGCUGAGGGUGAGUGGUUUGUCCUGAUUUUUCUUUUGUGGACAGAGUAGCUUGAAGAACCAGCAGGUGCUGUGGACGUCACUCUUCAGGCUGGGCAAGCAUUGGCCCUUCGUAGCAAGGUCCCCCGAGGCAAAGGAAGAGCAGAGGAAACAGGACCUGGGGGAGGGCGCUCAAAGCAGUGCCUGCAUGAAAAGACAAAAUAUGAAAAGGGAAAAUAUGUUAUUUAUUUUUCUUCCUUUUCUUUUUUAGCACAUACUGGUAUCUUAUAAAGCAUUACAUUAUGUUAAGGUUUGCAUGGGCUUCAAUGUGAAAGGGAAGGGACUGUCUUUAAAUAAAAGAUUC